GUCGCUCCUCGCGGUCACGAACUUCAGGCAMCCCCGGCUUUCAUGGCUUGACGGGCGGUGUGUACAAGGCCCGGGAACGUAUUCACCGCGCCAUGGCUGAUGCGCGAUUACUAGCGAAUCCAGCUUCGUGGGGUCGGGUUGCAGACCCCAGUCCGAACUGGGACCGGAUUUCAAGAUUGGAUGCAACUUGCAUUGCACCGUCCCUCUGUACCGGCCAUUGUAACACGUGUGUAGCCCCGGACGUAAGGGCCGUGCUGAUUUGACGUCAUCCCCACCUUCCUCGCACCUUGCGGUGGCAGUGUCCCCAGAGUGCCCGGCAUMACCCGAUGGCAACUGGGAAAGGGGGUUGCGCUCGUUAUGGCACUUAAGCCGACACCUCACGGCACGAGCUGACGACAACCAUGCAGCACCUUCMCAGACGCCCCGAAGGGAAGCCCACGUCUCUGUGGGCAGCGACUGCAAUUCAAGCCCGGGUAAGGUUCCUCGCGUAUCAUCGAAUUAAACCACAUGUUCCUCCGCUUGUGCGGGCCCCCGUCAAUUCCUUUGAGUUUCACCGUUGCCGGCGUACUCCCCAGGUGGGAUGCUUAAUGCUUUCGCUUGGCCGCAGGCGCAGGGCGCCAACGGCGGGCAUCCAUCGUUUACCGUGCGGACUACCAGGGUAUCUAAUCCUGUUCGAUACCCGCACCUUCGAGCUUAAGCGUCAGUMACACUCCCGCAGGCUGCCUUCGCGAUCGGAGUUCCUCAUGAUAUCUAAGCAUUUCACCGCUACACCAUGAAUUCCGCCUGCGCUGCGUGUACUCAMGUCUGACAGUUCGCGCUGCAAGUUAAAUGUUGAGCACCUAAAUUUCACAACACGCUUAACAGACCGCCUACACUCCCUUUAAACCCAAUAAAUCCGGAUAACGCCCGGACCUUCCGUAUUACCGCGGCUGCUGGCACGGAAUUAGCCGGUCCUUAUUCAUGAGGUACAUGCAAUGGCGCACACGUGCGCCAMUUUAUUCCCACAUAAAAGCAGUUUACAACCCAU
rnacentral:rRNA from 1 species